GUCAAAUUACUGUGAGUAAUCCACUUUUCAAUGACCACUCAGAUGGAACUACUAGAUAUCUGGAUGUGUCUUAUUCCUGUGGACCAGAUCCAACCCAGAAGCCGUUUGUCUGUGAACGCAAUGGCUGUAAAGUAUUUUCAAUCUGUCAGUUUGACAAGCAAGAGUUCGGCUGUGGUAAGAUUUAUGUUUUUUACACUGUUGUUAAAGUGAUUUUGCCAAAUUAUAAAAUAGUUAUGAGUUAUCAUAGAUUUAAGUAAAUAUAGCAAAACAUGCUAAAAUAAUGAAUCUAACUAAAUGGUUUCAAACAUCUUUUGUGUUGUUUUAGAAUCUGGAAAAAUGUUGGUUAAAUAUGCUUCCUACGGUAGGAGAAGUCAGCAGAUUUGCCCUCAUUUUAAUUCAAGUCUCACAUCUUCUCUGUGCUUCUCAGACCAGACCAGCAUCGUAAAACUUUUGUGUGAUGAUAAACCUAAAUGCAAACUAUAUGUUUCAAGUUUAGUUUACCUGGAUCUGUGCCCUCACCUCUACAAAUCUUUGACCGUGUUGUACACAUGCACGGACUAAAGAAGAAGAUGAGCAUGUCUUCAUCUGACACAUUGACAUGAUGGAGACCUAAGUGGUCAUGUCAAUGUGCAGUGUACCUUCACAGGAAUAAUGUUAUUAAAUUUUACAAUUGUUUAAAGGUUAUUGACUCUUAAGUGAUUUUAUUAACAUAUUUAUUUUGCUAAUUGGGCAAUAUAUCAUUAAAUUUCUGAAUGCUAGUAAAACAAUAUGAAACUGUAUAGGCUAUUUGAUCUG